AUUGAACGCUGGCGGCAUGCCUUACACAUGCAAGUCGGACGAGUGGCGAACGGGUGAGUAACGCAUCGGAACGUACCGAGUAGAGGGGGAUAACUGCUGGAAAGGACAGCUAAUACCGCAUACCAUCCGAGCGGCCGAUGUCGGAUUAGCUGGUUGGCGGGGUAAAGGCUCACCAAGGCGACGAUCAGUAGCGGGUCUGAGAGGAUGACCAGCCACACUGGGACUGAGACACGGCCCAGACUCCUACGGGAGGCAGCAGUGGGGAAUAUUGGACAAUGGGCGCAAGCCUGAUGCAGCCAUGCCGCGUGUAUGAAGAAGGCCUUCGGGUUGUAAAGGACUUUUGGCAGGGAAGCGGUACCCGAAGAAUAAGCACCGGCUAACUACGUGCCAGCAGCCGCGGUAAUAC
rnacentral:rRNA from 1 species